UAACCAGGGAUUCCCCCAGUAACGUCGAGUGAAGCGGGAACAGCUCAAAUUUGAAAUCUCCGACGCUUGCGUCGGCGAGUUGUAGUUGCGAGAAGCACUUUCUCGGCGGAUCGGACGCGCCUAAGUUGCUUGGAACAGUACGUCGCAGAGGGUGACAACCCCGUCUGUGGCGCGUCCGGCCGCUCACGAUGCGCUUUCGAAGAGUCGGGUUGUUUGGGAAUGCAGCCCAAAACGGGUGGUAAACUCCAUCUAAAGCUAAAUACUGACGUGAGACCGAUAGCGAACAAGUACCGUGAGGGAAAGAUGAAAAGAACUUUGAAAAGAGAGUUAAAAAGUACGUGAAACCGUUGAAAGGGAAACGAAUGGACUCAGCAAUGCGCCGCUUGAGAUUCAGCCGGCCGGCGGGGUCGGCCCGGGAUUAGCGGAUCCGAACGGACCGCGGUCUCGGGCUCGUCCUCGUCGACCGUCGCACUUCUCUUGGGCGCGCGUCAACGUCGGUCGGUUCUGGGUCUGAAGGGUUCCGGGAAGGUGAGUCCGCCAGCCCGGUUCUCGGAUCAGCUCGGAGUCGACCGAGGCGGUCGCAGCGCAUGCCUCUUCUGGCUAGGGUCCCGUUCUUCCGGCCGGUCGUCGACCGCGGUGGACUGCUUGCAGUGCUCCGCGACUGCUGCCGGUCGUUGGGGCGGUGAUCUCGUACCAUGCGCUUAGGACGUUGGCGGUAAUAUGGGUCC
rnacentral:rRNA from 1 species